GGAUCGAUGAUGACUUAAAAAUUCUCAUCGGAAUCUCUGAACAAAAUGAGUGACCAAAUCACUUUUGUGCCACUUCUGUGAGCUGAGGUCC